ACACCCCCACUCACGGUGUGCGGGGGACUGGGCCGGACGUGGAAUCUGAACACUAUCCAUUUUUAGUAUUUCUUUUGCCAACGUUUAUUUAAGUAGUAGCGAGAAUCUAAGUGCAGUAAGACGUGGAAUGCAGCAUCAAUACUUUGACGACACCGAAACACCUGCCACAGGCUGCAGCACAGCGCAUCGUUGGGAGUGGUGUGGCCGUCGAGAGGCUCAGGUAACACCCGGCCUGUCAUCCUCCAUUGAUCGCCUCGGCAGGUGUGGUGGUGGUCGUUGGACAGCUGCAGGGGACGCCUCGCCGCUCAGGUGUGAUGCUCCAGUGACAAUCAGGUGUGGUUACAACGUGACCCGGCAGGUGUUACAGCCCUCCAACAAGCUGUGUCCCGCGUCAGAUGUCCAAAGCUGCCUGGAUGAAGAUGUACCUUGCAUUUUGGUGGGACAGCCGGGUUGGUAUUCAACCUUCUGUCAGGGAGGAUACAUGUUUGUAAAUUAUGUUCUGUGCUUACCAAGUCAAAGAUUUAAAAUAAAAUUAAGUAAAGUA